CCUACGGGGGGCAGCAGUGGGGAAUAUUGGACAAUGGGCGAAAGCCUGAUCCAGCCAUGCCGCGUGUGUGAAGAAGGCCUUCGGGUUGUAAAGCACUUUCAGUGGGGAAGAAAGCCUUGGGGCUAAUACCCUCGAGGAAGGACAUCACCCACAGAAGAAGCACCGGCUAACUCCGUGCCAGCAGCCGCGGUAAUACGGAGGGUGCGAGCGUUAAUCGGAAUUACUGGGCGUAAAGCGCGCGUAGGCGGUCUGAUAAGCCGGUUGUGAAAGCCCCGGGCUCAACCUGGGAACGGCAUCCGGAACUGUCAGGCUAGAGUGCAGGAGAGGAGGGUAGAAUUCCCGGUGUAGCGGUGAAAUGCGUAGAGAUCGGGAGGAAUACCAGUGGCGAAGGCGGCCUUCUGGACUGACACUGACGCUGAGGUGCGAAAGCGUGGGUAGCAAACAGGAUUAGAUACCCCUGUAGUC
rnacentral:rRNA from 1 species